rnacentral:rRNA from 1 species
UUCAUAAUAACUUUUCGAACCGCAUGGCUUUGUCGUGGCCGAUGUUCAUUCAAAUUUCUACCCUAUCAACUUUCUGAUGGUAGGAUAGAGGCCUACCAUGGUUUUAACGGGUAACGGGAAUUAGAGGUUCGAUUCCGGAGGAGGGAGCCUGAGAAACGGCUACCACUAUCCAAGGAAGGCAGCAGGCGCGCAAAAUUACCCAAUCCCGAUACGGGGAGGUAGUGACAAUCAAAUAAACAAUACAGGGCUUUCUAGUCUUGUAAUUGGAAUGAGUACAAUUUAAAUCCCUUAACGAGGAACAAUUGGAGGGCAAGUCUGGUGCCAGCAGCCGGGGUAAUUCCAGCUCCAAUUAGCGUAUAUUAAAGUUUGUUGCAGUUAAAAAGCUCGUAGUUGAACCUUGGGCCUGGGU